rnacentral:tRNA from 1 species
AGAAAGAAUAGUUUAAUAAAAAUAUUGAUUUUGUAAAUCGAAGAAAUUAAAUCUUUCUC